GGUUAAGCGACUAAGCGUACACGGUGGAUGCCCUGGCAGUCAGAGGCGAUGAAGGGCGUGCUAAUCUGCGAUAAGCGCCGGUAAGGUGAUAUGAACCGUUAUAACCGGCGAUACCCGAAUGGGGAAACCCAGUGUGAUUCGUCACACUAUCAUUAACUGAAUCCAUAGGUUAAUGAGGCGAACCGGGGGAACUGAAACAUCUAAGUACCCCGAGGAAAAGAAAUCAACCGAGAUUCCCCCAGUAGCGGCGAGCGAACGGGGAGGAGCCCAGAGCCUGAAUCAGCAUGUGUGUUAGUGGAAGCGUCUGGAAAGGCGCGCGAUACAGGGUGACAGCCCCGUACACAAAAGCGCAUAUGCUGUGAGCUCGAUGAGUAGGGCGGGACACGUGGUAUCCUGUCUGAAUAUGGGGGGACCAUCCUCCAAGGCUAAAUACUCCUGACUGACCGAUAGUGAACCAGUACCGUGAGGGAAAGGCGAAAAGAAC
rnacentral:rRNA from 2 species